UGGAUAGAGGUUGCGUAUUCUAAUAGUACCUCGCAGGAUGCGGCAGGGCAGAUGAUUGCGGGAGAAAGGAGCAUACGCCGAAAGGACACGGGACUGCAACCCGCGGGCCUUGGGCAUAAGUUUAACAGGCUUAUGACUGUCAUCUGUAGUGGAUGGGGCGCUAUCUGA
rnacentral:ncRNA from 1 species